CACAAGUGGGGAGAACACUGUUGCACUUAGCACCUUCCUUUGGGAUUGUUGAAGAAAUCUGGAUGACCUUGGAGAGAAGAGGAUGCUGGACUAGAUGGGUUAUUGGCCUUAUGCACUGGAAUGCUCCACCAUACAAAUACCUACAUAAACUAGAUGUCAGGGAUCAGUAUUCUAGCCUUGCCUUCUUCCUGACACAUGAGUUCUCUAUGCUUGUUUUCUAUUUUUCUAUGGAGGAGCACUCCAUUGUUUGAGUCUCCACCUCUGCUCUGAAGUUCAAGUACAGGUCCACCACUUCACUGGAAGAUAGCCUACAUGGAGCUGUACUUAAAGGAGGACAGAAAGAGAAGAGACUUGUCCUGUUACCCCUUUGCUAUGAAGAGCCAACAAGACAUGGACAAAAACGACCAAUUACCACCAUACAUAGAGUCACAAAGUACAGGUACGACAAAAUACUAAACUUGCCCAAUCAGAGAGACGUGUAUCAUGUCAACUUCAAUUCCCACCACUGCAAAAGAGAUGCUGCUGUCAAUGUAUUUUUGCAGCAAAAAUUAAUGUAUCCUGACAGCAGGUCACUCAUCUAGAAAAUCUCACCUUGCAGAAUUCAAGAAUCUCUUUGUCUUUCUUUAUCUCUGUCCCCUCAGUUGCACCAAGUAUUAUCCUUCCAUCUAUCUACAGGCUGGUGUUAGUAUAAAUGGUCUCUCAGGUUUUUGCCCAUCAAGUUCACAAAGUUAAGUACCUUUCCUUUCACUUUAGUUAAUUUACAGAUGAAACUUCCUAGGGGGGAGAGAGAGAUAGAAAGCACACAUUUAUCCUUAGGACUUCACUGGGCAAGUUUGUCUAGGUAGGGCUCCUCUGUCAGGGAUGGUCAGGUUUUAUGGCUUCAGGGCCCUGACAGUGUCAUUUUAAAUGGGCAGCAACACAAAACAAAUAUCUUCCAUCCAUGCUUAAAGCACCAAGAUCACCACAAACCAUCCCUCUUUCAAGGUAUGGGGAGCAAGAGCUGAAAUUAAACCCAUCACAGCUAGAUUACCCGAAAAUCUGGUUUCUUUUAGCUCAAGUACCUCUAUUCUCUCUCCCCCAACCCCCGCCACCGAAGAUUUCAGUUCUAAGCAAAGUUUCUCUAAUGGCUCAAAAUUAAGUUUCAUCCCCAAUUAAUCUUCAGCCUUAAGCAGCUACUCCAAAGGUCACUGCUAUUAACUCUAAAGUAUGUGAUCUUUCGCUAGAGUUCACUCAAAAUGUGUGUGCAUAUGGAUUGGGUGUGGAGAGAUACUGGGCACUGGAUUUUAGAUGGAAUGGACAGAGGCCUCUUGGUCUCCUGGACUGAGAUCAGGCUAGAUCAGGGCCCAUCCCAUACAGAAAUGGAUCCAUGGUGAUGAGAGUCAGAAUACGGAACCAUUAGAGUGGGACUAAAUUUGGGCUAGCCCAACUCAUUGUAAAUUAUUGAAGAAUGUGGGCAGAUGAGAGGAGGAAACAUCUAGAAGGACUCUGUUCUUUGCAGGCAUACCACAAAAGAGAAUAAGGCCCUAGAUAUUUCUGAACAUAUUGGUAGUUUCUAGGGAUGCUGCGAGCAACAAAGACCACAUUGCCCAUGGUUCAAAGUAACUUUGGGUGCUGCUGCAAGCAGAGAGGUCCUUGCUCACCGUACAAAGAGUGUUACAAGACUUAAGAUCUCUAGGUCUUAGCUCAGAAAUAUCCAAUAAAAAAUUGCUUGUUGAAAAGAAUUUAAGAAGCAUUAUACACAUUGAUGAUGUCAUUAUUGGGAUGCUAAGUUAUGUGGGGAGCCUCUACAAGCAGAGGAGGUAACCUCUUCAGACUCUGCCCUCCACUUUGUGGAGAAUGAUGGAAAUAGUGAUGUGGUGGGAGCCUGGCUUAGCACACUCAUACCCACACACCUUGCUCACAGCUAGCCUUUACACACAGCCAGCACAUCUGAACAGCAUUAUUUUCUGGCCCCAGCCUGGAGUGUCAUCUUGAGGCUCAACAGUGGGGCAGAUUUUGAUAGUUCGUUUCUCAUCAUCCUAUUUCUUUAUCUAUACCAAAUUUAGCUUGAGAUUAAGAAUGGGCAAAUCCAUCAAUUUUCCUUUCUCUCAGUUUGGUUUCUCUCAUAUUCUGAUUUGAGCUUCCAAAGCAAUCUGCACCAGGACAAUUUAUCAGCAUUUUAGGGCAAUUUUUCUACUCAUAAAGACAUUUUUGCAUUUCGUCUGGACUAAUAUACACUCUCUCUUUUUUUAAAAAAAAAGGCAAUUUGCCCAUACAUAAUGCAUUGCUCUACGCUAUUUUCACAUAUAGAUGCAUCUUUAUGAACUUUCACCCAAUAUGUGCAUUUUUUGUACACAUUGCAUGGUUGGAAAACUGCAUCACAAAAUUCAAACAAAUGCAAAUUUUGAAAGAUCACUGUGUUUCAGUUCACCUAUUAGUUCAAGAAGAGCAAAUUAAGUAGCUUCUCAUUAAAAUGCAAAGAAAAUAUAAUUUCUAUUCCAUCCCUACUUGGGAUAAAAACUUUGAAAUUGUGUACCCCCUGCAAAACACACACUCUAUUUUGAACACCAGCAAAUUAAUUAUUUGUACAAUAUGCACCCACUUAGAAAAUAACAGCUUUCUCUCCCUCUUUCUAAAAUGUACUUGAAAGUUUACCAGCAGCUGCUCUAAUUUGGCAGAUUCCUUUAAAACCUCCACCAGCUCCCAUUAGAGGCAACUAAUGGAAUAUUAUCCAUCAUCACUGAGAUCCCAUACUUUUCUCCCUGCCAUCUCAUACUCUCCUCUCUUUUUGCUCUCCAUCAGCAAGUUCACACUCUGAAUAAAUCCAGAGCUGCUGGAAAAACAGCUAAAGUGCACUUUGGAGUGACGGGUGCUAUGAUAAACAACCUGCCAAUCCUCAACAUACUAAUGAAUGACAUCCCAAACAGUUUGCAUCAUCUUGUGGGAAAUGAGAUACCAAUGCACAUCAUCCACUUGUUUGCAUUGCAUGAGCAUGCCUCAUCUUCACCUUUCUCAGUGAUGGGUGAGCAGUCUUGUGCUUGUCCCAAAAAUGCACUGUUGCUGCUGUCAAUGCAUGUAGCAACCACAACCGCACCACCACCCACAGCACAAAUGCUUCUUCCUCAUCUACACCAGCGAUAUUUUUUAGCUGCAGGCCAGUCCACUGUCCCUCAGACUUUGUGGCGGGCUGGAGAGGCGGCACCAGGGGAGGCAGCUUGAAGAAGAGGCAUGGGGGGCAAGUAGUCCUCCUCCCCACCCCCCAGCCCCAGCCUCAGCCGUUGCGCUUACCUUCCCAGAGGCUGCCACCACUGCCCCCGCUGCUGCCACCACUGCUGCUGCUGCUGCUUCUUGUGGGUAGGCAGAGAGAACUCAUCCGCUCUGCUCUCUGGCCCACGGGAGCACCAGGGUGGCGGGGGGCGGAGAGAGAUGAGCGGCGUGAAAGGGCUGGCUCCGGAGAGGGGCUGCUUAAAAUGGCGCUCAGCCAGCUGAGCCCAGCCCCCUUCCUCCUCUAGGCAGGGCAGGGAGAAGCCAGGAGGAGGGAGGGAGGAGGCACCGCCGUGGUGUGUGUGAGGGGGGGGGAUGGAAUGGCACAGGGGGAAAAAAUGGUGCAGCCCGAACGAACAGAAUCCCCAUGCCGAUCCACAGACAGUCUGCGGGCCGGAUCCUGAAGGCAAUUGGGCCUGAAUUGGCCUGCGGUCCUUAGUUUGCCGACCCCUGAUCUACACAUAUGGCUGAUUUGGGAAAGGGUGGUGAUUUACACACAUUAGAGAACCUGCACGUGAGGUGGGUGGGAGACCUUGAAUGGGACAGAUUUCCCCCUUGCAUAGAAGAACUGUAUGUGAGUAGAGAUCUUUUGCAUACAGAUGGUGGCUGCAGUGGGUGUGGCUAGCCAGUGUUGCCUCACAACUAGGGAUGAGAGAAGAUUUGAUUCAGUUCUCAUUUGAAGGUGAACUUAUAAAAAGCCAUGCUUUCUGAAAUAUUGCACCAGCCCAAUGCAAACAUUGCUCAAAAUGUGCACUUCUCUGAAACUUGCAGUGUGUGUCUCCAGCAAAGUCGUGAGUAUAAAAAUGCAUACACCAGAGCAAGGUGUGCACUGAAAUGCAUUAUAUUAUGGGAAAUUGCUUUGCAGAAAUGUGCGUGUGUCGGACAAAAAUCACAUAUGACCAUGUAUAUAUUUGCACUAAGAAAUUUGCACUAAAAUGUUGGCGACUUUUCAUGAGAACUUUUUUUUAAAAAAGCAAAGUGAUAUGAGCAUGUAGAGAAGUGACCUUAUGACUCUUGAGUGCUAAGAGUUCUUUGCAUACAUUUUCUUGUUCCUUACAGUAGUUCUGUAAGGUAGUGGAUCUGUUGGUUCACACGGAAACCGCACACAUUGCAGUCAGGAUUGAUCCAAAAAAUAGCUUGUAGAGGCUGGACUUAAACUUAUAGUCCCACCUUGGUCACUAAAUUACAGGAUAACAAAAAUAGAGGAGAUAGCAUUCACAUUUGCCUAAAAGCCCCAAACCAGUAAUGGCUGGUGGUCAUUGGGACUGGUGGGGUGAAGGGCUAGGAGACUAACAGUGAGUGGAACCAGAGCCAGUUAUAAGCAGAGCUGCUACAAAAGUCAAAACUGAGACCUUAGAAGGAGGAAGUUGGGAGCCAGUGCUGCCCCUUGGACAGGUGGUAAAUAAGAAAGAAAGGGGCUGGCUGAGGGCAGCUGGAGAUUGGCGAGGCAGUGCCCCAUUUGCCCCAAUGCACCAGCCUUUGCUGUUCCCUUUUGUGGUGGGGGCAGGCCUGUUCAGAUUCAGUUGUGAGGGAAUGGCCUGCAGUGCACAUGCUCAAAUAGCCCUCUUUAAUUAGCACUCCUCUUUCCCUGGGAUUGCCCAAUCGGAGCCUCCUAAGCAGCAUCUGGGGCUGGACACUGGUGAGCCCUCGCUCAAAUCAAGUCCUUCAAAGACUUCAAACUCUUUCAAGAUCAAAGCAUUUCGGUAGAGAGUGCCUUACGGGGCCCGGAAGAUACGAGGAGUGGGAGCGAAACAAUUAAUUAAUUCCAUCUUAUUGUCCCUCUAAUUAAAUCAAGAGCAGAGAAUGUCAGGUCCCCAGCUCAGAAUUACCGCAUACUCUAACUCUUCCCUACAUCUCUAUAAGAUGCAGUCCCAGAAUUAAUGAGCAUAUAAAUUAAAGGAGGAGGGGAAGCGCUCACACAGAAAAGGCAAUAUACCCGGCCCUGAGCCAAAAAAAAAAAAAAAGGAGCCAAGGCACCCAAGGUAUACAUAUCUGUAUGCACACGCACACACACGCACACACACGCACACAGAAAAAGAGAGAGAGAGAGAGAGAGAGAGAGAGAUGGUAUGGGGAGCACACAGCCAUCCAAAUGUUGUUGGGCUCCAACUCCCAUCAGUCCCAGUCAGCAAGGCCAAUGGUCAGAGUUGAUAGGACUUGUCAUUCAAAGGCAUUUGGAGGGUCAAAUGUUUCCCAGUUGUGUCUUAGACACAGCCCAAUCUUUCAUUACAAAGCAGCACUUUUUAUACAGGAUGAAUUUACACUCUCCUUUAACUUUUAUUUGUAUUAUUGGAUGAAAUAUCAUAAAUGACGCAAUCUUGAUUUUUACCAUUGCCACUUGGCAACUCCCCUGCCACCACUCCUUCCUCACAUUACACUUGAAGACUUGGGUUUCUUCUUUUUCUUUUUCCUUUUCCUUUUUUUCCCCUUUUCCUUUUUGCAUUUCUGUACAUCUCCAGUGGCUUAUUUGGUGAGGGAUUCUCUUUGUUGAGCUUUUUCCUUUACUUGUCUCAUAUUUAGCCUUUAAAUUAUUCAUUGCAUAAUCCUUUAGCAAGUUUCACGCAUUUUCAUACACUUGUUCGGCUCGCUUGAAACACAUCCUGACUGGUUCCUCUCAGUGCUCUGUGUUGAAAAUUAAUCUGCCACUAAUAAAACAUUUAAAAGGUGUCGUCUAGCACGGACUGGGAUGGAACAACCGUCUCAUGAAUAAAUACAUACACCUUUUUUUUUUUUAACAAGGCAUGCCUGCCUCCAAAAAAUGAUUUAAUAAGCACAGCAUCUUUGAAAGCUGUGCACAUUCAGAGCUCCCAAUAGUUUUUGCAUUGACCCUUUGUGAUGAUAAAACAAACAGGUGAUGGCGAAUGCAAAUGCAAUGCAGAACCUGAGUGCAAAAGCAUUUCCCCCAUUUGUAAUUUAUCAGCAACUGGUAUUCAGAGGCUUUCUGCCUCCACCAAUGAGGCAGAGCACAGCCAUAAUGUCCAGUAGCCACUGAUCUAUUCCACCAGAAUAGAGACUUAGUGCAACUGUGCUCUCCCCCUCUGCAAUUCACACCAUUUCGUGUACCUGUACACCAGUCCUUCAUCUCCUGAACUUAAAACAUUUUUCCUACCCUCUAAAAAAAAUCCAUAUGCUGACUUUCCUCACUUACCUUUCGAGAGAGAAAAUGUGCUUCCUUCUACCUUUUGACUAACUGCUGAUUUUACAAUUUAAUCUCAGUCGCCUCCUGGCAUCCAUUUGUUAAGUACUUGUUAAGGUGCCAAAACAAGCAAUGCCCUUGCACAUUUGGCUUUUUGAUCUUGCUACCACAAAAUUGGCCAUCUAUCAGGACUGACUGAAUGCUUGCCACCGGGGGUGAAUGGAUCUGCCCAUGCAAGAUAGUAAAUUUGUGGUCACUCAGCAGACCUAAUUUUACUUGCCACAGAUGGAAAAUAAAGGUGAAGGAGAAUUACUGUAGGUGAGGCUAAAUCACUGCUUUCCGCUUGUUCUCUUCUCAUGAAUGUAUGAGGCUAAAAAGGAAUGUCUUCAUCAGUUUCAGACACUGAUUGCUACGGCUGGGGAAAAGAAAACCUCUGGAUCUGUAUUGAUAUGUACCAGGUGCAGAUGGUGUCCAUUGAAACUGGUAGGGGGGGAGGCAGGGAGACCAACAGCAGAUGGCACCAGAGCCAAUGACAGGCAGAGCCAACUGAUUCUGGAUUAGCCCCCAUCCUCCUCCCUGCUGAGUUCCACAAGGGCAAUACAAAGAAGAAGGGGGAGGAGGAAGCUAACAGACAGCGCCACCCUCUGGACUUAUUGUAAGUGGGAAGGCAAGCAGGUGAGAGCUGGGGAGGCCAGUGAGGUUGGUGGUGCAGUGCACCAUUUUCUUAAAUGGAUUUAUUUUAAUUUAAUUUCUAGCUUGUUCCAAGCAAAGUGUUAACAUAUAGCCUUACAAAUAAGUUCACUUCCUGGCUUAUGGAUCAAUUGCAUUUAUACCCCACCUUUUGACCACCGCACCUCCAAAGCAGAUAUAGGACACAAACUUUGGACAAAGAUUAUAUUAAUGUAAAACACAACUCUGAGUAUAUGCAAAACAACAACAGCAGCAGCAGCAACAACAACAGCCAGGUUAAUUAAAUAGGAAUAUGCAAUAUGAUCACAUCUUACACACAUUCAACUUGUGUGAUUUUGAUCAUACCUGAUUGAAGGUCGGCUGGUUGAGAUUCAGCAAGCAAGGCAGGAGAGCUUCAAAGCUUUUUUCCUGCUGGGUUUUCCAGACACAAAAAGAGCUUUUAAGCACUCAGUCUUGCUUGGUGGGCAAGGCCUGGUCAGCACACAAGCUCCAGAAGGCUAGCCAUACUUGCACGGGGGCAGUUUGAGUAUACAUGUUUUUGCAAAUAUGUGGAACCCUUGGAACCGACCCCCCACAUAAGGUGCAGUUGUAUUGCUGCUGGAGUAGGGAAGUUCCCUAUGUUAUGAGGGAUCAAGUUCCUCCCUACACCUGAGCACAUUUGCAGGCAUGGCUUCAGAGAAAGGGACUGGAAGGGAUCCUUCCUCCUUGCUCUGAACACCUUGCGUAUAAGAGCUCGACAAGUACACCACGGCCCUGCCGCCUCAGCAUCCCACCACAAGCAUGCAUGCCAAAAAGCACCCUCCAUGAUUCCUGCAAAGCGUAGAGUGACCAAGCGUGUCAUUAACCCAAUUACACCUCAUUUGGCUAUCUCACCCCUCUUAAUCUGUCUUUCCCAACCAGACUAACAGGCAAUUAAACCAAAACAAACUACGAUACUCCUGAAACAAGACUCCCAGCAGUAUGAAGUAGGCAAAAAAGGAGAGUCCAGACAGUGGCGGACCCUGAGGUCUCAAAUUUCAGUAGCGCCCUGUGAAACACCAAAUUUGGCACCCCCACCUUCCAUUCUACACCAUAGUUGCAGUGCCCUGGAGGCUCUGUGCCCAGUGUGACCAAACUAGUUGUGCUUCCCUGAGAACAUUUAGGGGCUCCCCUCAAAAUUCCUACUCAUUCUCUAAAGAGGUGACUAACAAAGCCCAUAUUGCCUUGAGAUGGGAGACACUACAAAGAAAGGACCGCACCAUUUGGAGGAGAUGCAAGCUUAUAAAACCAGGUUGUCUCCUCUCCCGACUAGUGGCCACACCAGCUCCUCCCCUGGGCAAAACCAACUGAGCCUUCUUGGAAAGGGAAGCUGGGGUGUGGCAAAUUCUCUGGGUGGGACAGGCGUUCUCAAAGGAGCUCAAGAUGGUGUGCACGGUUCUCUCCCCCCCUCUAAUCCCCACAAUAAACCCUGUGAGGCAGAUUAGGCUGAGAGGCAGUGGCUGGCCCAAUGUAACCCAGUGAGCUUCAUAGCCAAGUGAAGAUUUGAACCCUGGUUCUCGAGGUCCUAAUUCCCACACUGUAACGACUCCACCACACUGUAACACAGAAACAAGGUGCUGACACGUGCUGGGAGAAACCCAACAUUAUGCACAGAAGUGAAAUGCAACCUCCAUUUAGAACUAAUCAGGUCCAAGGGCCAAUAUGCCAUUCUUGUCCUCCAGUUUCUUAACAUAAAACAAACAUUAAGUGCAUUAAAUGUGAAAUUAAUGUUGCUUAUUUUUUUCUCUCCGAACAUAUUCCUUCCAUCAUCCGUCGCCCACAUGAAAUAUUGUCACUUCAAAGUAUGUAGCGCAAAACAUUUAAAUCAAUGUAUGGGUAGAGUGCUGGGGCUUUUGUGUACACACACAGUCACACGUCUCUCUCUCUCUCUAUGUAUAUAUAAAUAUACAUGUCAUUUCACAGUAAUUCAAACUGGGAGAGAGAGUAAAGGAGCGUUUCUCGUUAAGCAUGCCUGAGAUAAAUCAGAAACAGCAUCUGUGGAGCCAUGGAUCUCCUUUCACUGUGACAAAUAUAUUUAGAUGCAUGGUGUGCUUGGAUUAGAAAGCCAGGAGGGAGACUUUUUAAUCAUUGUUGGGAGGAAACUUCAAAAGGAAAGGAUCCUACACCCCCAAAUUGGCUUUCUUUGGGCACAAAGCCAGUCUCUUCUCACCCUGUCCCAAAGCCGAAACAAGACAGAGUCACAGUUCACAGCCUCCCUUUCCACAGCACCACUUAUAGCAAUACAAAAGCAACUUGAUUUGUGUGUCAAGCAGGGUAAACCUUAAUCCAUCUUCCAAGUCAGACAUUGCUUAGUGCUUGCAAAAGGGCUGCUGCCCUAACACAGACUGAAUGCAAAAGAGACAAUUUGAAUUAAGCCGUGUGGCAGAGAAAAUGAUAAGGCUACUAGCCAUGGUAGCUAUGCUCUCCUUUGGCAGUAAGAGAAAGCCAUACCCUGCAACAUUCCUCAGAUGAAAAUAGGGACAUUUAUCACUCCCCUGCAAUUGACCCCCCCCCAUUUUUGUGCCCCCCACAGAGCACUUCCUAUUAGAAGAAGAGUGAGUGCCACUAACACUUCACCAAUGGGACACACACCUGCCACCAUCCUGAGAAAACCCUAUUUGAUUUGAUUCUUUAGUAGAUUCACAAAAUGAAAAACACACACCAACAAAUAAAUUUUAGAAAGGGGAAAGAUUAGAUGCAGUCACACAAAGCAUUUAAAAAACAACAACCAAGACUCCUUGAGCUCCAUUCCUCCUUUCUUCCUGCCCAGGGCAACCAUGUCCCUUGCCUAGCGCUCAGAGCCAGCAGCCUUUCCUCCUCCACACCUGCUCUCCAGCAGCCACUAUGAGCUGCCCAAGGGAGGAGGCUGGCAGUGGUGGCCAUGGAGGGGCAACAGGAUGUCUCCUCACAGCCACCGCUGCUGCUUCUGCCAUCGCUCGGGAGAAGCUCCAGGUCAUCUGCCUCCCCAAGCUUGGUGGGACUGGAGCUGGCAGGGGAAAUAGGGACAUUCCAGGAUCAAAUCAUAAUUCCAGGACUGUCCCUGGAAAAUCAGGGAACUUGGAGGGUGUGGUGGAAGCAUGGGUUGCUGAGAAUCAUAAGUAGGGAGAAUAUUGCUUAUAGGUCCUGCUUGUAGGCUUUUCACCAGCCACUGUGAGAACAGAAUCCUGGACCAGAUGAGCCAUUGGCCUGAUCCACCAGACUUUCCCUACAUUCUCAUGCAGAAUGGGUGACAGAAAGGUUUUAACGAUAUAAGUUUAAUAUGCAUAAAAUGUUCUGUUUGAAUGCAUUGUAUUUAAAAUGCUUUGCAGAGCAGUUUGCAUUAGGCACAAGGGGUUUGUCUCUAGUAAAUGUGACAAGGAGAGUGCUUAAGGCUAAUUGAUGACUCAUCUUUGGAAACCUGAACAUAUCUUUCUCAGCAUGAGGUGAAAUUUGAGAAUUCAGCAUCUCGAUGGAGCCAGGAGCAAUAGCAGUAGAAGCUGAGCUCCACAAUGGUGAUCAAGCAAGAUGUUUGCACAGGAUCUCUCUCUCUGGGAUCAGAGAGAGGAAAGUUCUUGGGCUGAAUAAAGGACUAAAAUCAAGAUGAGACUGCAUUGUUAGUUUGUUAAAGAGUAAUGUGUUUGUUAAAGAGUAAUUUUAUAAUGUUUAUUUGUAACUAUUUUAUGAGUGUUUCCAGUAAAGCUCUAAAACUCAUGCUUGUGGCGAGGAACAUUCAUUUCUACUCUGCAGAAGUUUCAGAUCAGAGAUUUUGUUGCAGCAACAAAAGGGACUUCUCUCAAAAAUAUUUACUCCGUAUACUUAAGGCUAUGGUUUUCCCAGUAGUGAUGUAUAGAAGUGAGAGCUGGACCAUAAAGAAGGCUGAUCGCCGAAGAAUUGAUGCUUUUGAAUUAUGGUGCUGGAGGAGACUCUUGAGAGUCCCAUGGACUGCAAGAAGAUCAAACCUCUCCAUUCUUAAGGAAAUCAGCCCUGAGUGCUCACUGGAAGGACAGAUCCUGAAGCUGAGGCUCCAAUACUUAUCAUGAGAAGAGAAGACUCCCUGGAAAAGACCCUGAUGUUGGGAAAGAUGGAGGGCACAAGGAGAAGGGGAUGGCAGAGGACAAGAUGGUUGGAUAGUGUUCUCGAAGCUACCAGCAUGAGUUUGACCAAACUGCGGGAGGCAGUGGAAGACAGGAGUGCCUGGAGUGCUCUGGUCCAUGGAGUCACGAAGAGUCGGACACGACUAAAUGACUAAACAACAACAACAAUGGUGUGUUGUGCCCUUUGAGACUGAUGGGGCAGAAAUUAAGGAGUUCAGCAGUAGGUGGAGCCGGAGACCCAAUGCCAGGCAGACAGUACUAAUUCUAGUAUUGUCCCCAUCCUCUUUUCUGGUGAGUUAUACACUUGAGACCAAGGGGGAUGAAGCUAACACUCAGUGCUUCCACGCCCUGGAGUAAAUAAGUAGGAGAGCAGGUGAGGGCUGGCUGAGGGCAGGUUAAGGUUGAUGGGGCAGCGACCCAUUUGCCCUAGUGGAACAGCGCUCACUACCACCAGAGAAAUUCUGAACUUCUUUUGGGAGGGAGGAAACUUGGAAAUUCAAUAGAUAAAUAAAUGUUCAAGAUCUGACAGGUGAGGGGGCAUAGGAUAAUAAGACCAUGUCAGAUUUAGCAGUGGAAGAUCCCUGAGGAACAUUCCAUCACCACUGGUGAAGAUUUUAAGAGCAUUCAGGUGUGGGGAUUAUUGUGUUAUUUUUCCUGCUUAAAAUGCUUCUGCUCUAUAUGCUAAUCUUGCAUUACCUUUUGUGUUUAGGAUCUGUGGCUUUUUAAAUCAAAAUCUAGUCAUGUCACACUGAAUUGCAUUUACACCAUUGGACAUCAGCAGAUGUCAUCACACACACCACCACCCUUUAUGCCAGUGGUUCCCAAAUUUUUCCAUGCCAUGGCUCCCUUGGUUCCAUAAACCCAUCUCCAGUGCCCCCUACCCUAUGCUAUUAAAAAGCAUUAUUCAGAAUGGUGGCUUGCAAGACACACCAAGAUAGUAACACAAUAAAAUUCAAGGCAGUAGCAAUUAAUUGCACAUUUAUUCAAAAUCCAAUUAAAACUAUUUAGUUUAAUUAAGUAACUCAACCAAAUUAGUGAACUUGAUCCAGUGAUGUUAGAGUUUCAAAAGCUGACAGUCAUUUAUACCUCCAGUGCCGCCGCCCCCUAGCCAUUCCCUUGACUCUUAGUGCACCACCCCCUGCCCCGGUAAUCCCACUGUUCCCCAGGGGGUGGUACCACUCUAUCAGGGAACCACUGCUUUACAUGAACACUUCUGUUCCCUUGUGAUUUACCCAUGAAAAUGGCAGGAAAGAGCUGUGUGUUGGGAUACCACCCCAAAUUUCAUCCUGUGCUCCAGUUGAUUUUAUUUUGUUUUAUUUGAUGCAAGCAAUUAACCUUGAAAUGAAUGCUAAACUUCUGCUAGAUUCCACCAGAUUCCCAGAACUGGGUUUUAUGCCAUGUGAAAUAUCACAUAAAAUGUGGAGAUUAUCUUGUAAAGAAAUGUCAGGAAAGUGGAAUAAAGUGCUGUCUGAAUGCAGACAUGAAGGCAGAAUUAUAACGAUGGAGCUGAAUCACAGCUGGUGUAGGAAGGGAACACACACAAUACCCUAUAUUGCACCAGGCCAUGCCCACAUCAGUUUAACACCAGUCCCAGACUUGGCACAAGGACUUUCCCUCCCAUGGUUUCUUCCCAUCACACAAGGACUGGAUCAGCCUCAUAUCACCUCAUGCCAUUUAGUUCUUUAAUUCAGUCAGAAAAUAUAUCCAAAUCCUUUGCAAGUUCAAUAAGCAAAAUAUGGUCUUAACUCAGUUGUUCAGCUUUUUCCUAGAAGUUAUUUAUAUCUCACUUCAACAUUAAUAGAGCAAUAAAACAUAGUGUGCACCUUUGGAAUGUAAUGUGCCGCUUGUAUUUUAAAAAUAAAAUAAAAAUUAUUUUUUUUAAAUAAAAAAAAUAGUGGUGUGAUCCACACACUGAUUUUCAGGAAGGGGACAUAGGUGUGAAUCAAAUCAAUUGCAAAUCAGAGGAAAUUAUUUGAUUUGAAGUAGGGGGAAGGGGUGCUAAGCCAGCACAAAAUUAAUUCAGGCUGCAAUACUAUACUCCAGAGACAGGGAACCUUUUUCAGCCAGAGUGUCACAUUCCAUUGUGGGCAGCCUUCCAGGGCCAGUGGUGGGCGGGGCCAGAGGCAAAAAGGAGUAGAGCAACAAAUGUGUAAAUUCUACCAUUGUACAGUAGGCUAGUUUUUACACACACUCCUCUCUAACCAACAUCCAGGGUACCAAGAGAGAUUGAGAAAUUUCAAGGACACAUACCACUUCAAGCAAAACAUUUGUAGGAAAAAGCAGGGGUAGUGAGUGUGUGGUCUGGAAAAAGUUCUGAGGGCCAGAGGGAGAGGACUGAAGGGCCACAGUUGCUUGCCACCCACGCUAUAUCUGCUAACCUGGGAUAAAAACCCAUUGAAUUAAAUCUGAAUAGACAUGCAUGGGAUAGUGCCGUUGGCUCUGGGAUUCUGAAGAGAGCCUUCUUGAUCCUUGAGGUUUGUUAUUAAUAUUCUUUUGUUCAGCCACUGUUAAUAUAUUAGUAGAUGUCUAAUCAUAGAAUUGUAGGGUUGGAAGGGACUUCAAGGGGCAUCUAGUCUAACCCCCUGAAAUUCAGGAAUCACAGCUAAAGCAUCCCUGAUAGAUGGCCACCCAACCUUCCCUUAAAAACCUCCAGUGAAGGAGAGUUCAUCACCUUCCAAUGAUGUCCAUUUCACUGUGGCGCUGAUAUCAAUCUGUUUAUUUGAAACUCUUCACGUAAAGAGACAUACUGACUGUCAUAUUUCAGUAAGAACAUAAUACUUCCAGGAAAAUUAACACCACCAUCAAUGGAUAAAAUCUUGUUUAGUUUAGAUCUCAGGUACUAAACAGCUGUUGCCAGAAAUGGCAGCCAGAUGUUCCACAAUGAUACAAAACAUCAUGCUCAAUUUUAAAGAAGCUUUUCCUCCCUCCAAAACUGCAUUCUAAUAGCAGGAUGAUGCCUCUUUUAAAUCAAUGAUUUAUUAAAGCAAAAGAUAUUAAGUGCCUUUUACUUUUCACACUCUGGGGCCCUCCAGAACAUGCUAUUAUGCACAUCAGCAAACAUAGGAAAAUGUCUGUAACAAUCUGAGAACUCCUUGCUAGCUGAUAUGCCAAUUGUUAGACAUUCAUCUGCCUUUUUCCAUUGGAAACAGUUUCCCGCACACCUGUACAUUUUAACCUAGGUAGAGACAUGACUGUUUACUACCUGCAUUUUUCCCCCUAAAAAAGAGGGUAUUCUAAUCGGUUCUUGUUGCUCUGGUCUCCUUUUCCUCCUAGUCAGCGUGUACAAAGACUGCUAUAAAGAUAUCUCAUCUUUCAUUCUCAUGGAAUCAGUGCCUUGAAUUUCAAUGGAAAGGAUGAUAAAAUGUAUCAAAAUACCUCACUGUGUCUCAUUCAGGUCCACUUAGGCUCUUGGCUUUCCCGUAAUCAUUUCAAAACACUGAAGCAUUUGCUAUUUAAAAUGAAGCCAUAUACCCCGAUGGCAAGUCAUAAACCACUCAUUUUAAGCCACUUGAGCUGCCCAAUUAAAGCUGCUGAGCAUUGCACGGCAGCUGAUGUGGCAGCAACUCAAAGCUUUUGCCCAUAGAGACCUAUAUUAAGUGUAAACAGCGCUGAACAGGAAUGACAAAAGUUAAGGUGCAGGGACAUGUGUGAAGGGGUCCCCCCUCCCGCAUUUUCAUUUUUUAACUAGAGUUCCCAGGGUUCUUUGGGGAAAGUUAUGAGCUUUUAAAGUGGUAUGAUACUGAUUUGAAUGCACAGUGCAGAUGGGACCAUAUUUCUAGAGAGGCAUUGUAGGUUAUUGUUUUACUCUUAUUCAUUUGUUUGGUUUCAAUACUUCUUGGGAGCCAGCUUGGUGCAGUGGUUAAGAGCGGUGGACUCGUAAUCUGGUGAACCAGGUUCGCUUCCCCACUCCUCCACGUGCAGCUGCUGGGUGACCUUGGGCUAGUCACACUUCUCUGAAGUCUCUCAGCCCCACUCACCUCACAGAGUGUUUGUUGUGGGGGAGAAAGGGGAGUAAGUCGUAAAAAGUGUGAGUCACUUUUCAUGGGAAAAGAGGCAAAUAAAUAAUGUUGUUGUUGUUGUUGUUGUUGUUGUUGUUAAUUAACCACCCUUCACCCAGGGUGGGUCAUAAGAAUUUAAAAUACUAUAUAAACACAGUUGUAAAAAAAUCACAAUAAUAGGGUGGCUCCUACAAACACACCCACCCCUCAUGUGUCAAAGACCAAGGCCAAGAGGUUUGUCUUCCAGCAUAUGGUGAAAACUGUAGAGUGAAGGUACCAGUUGCAUCUCUGUCAGGAGGGCAACUGUCACAGAGCAUGCCCUCUCCCAGGCCACCAGGAGUGCCAGCUUGGCCCUGCAACAGUGGAUGCCUGGGACUGUGGGUGCCGUGUAGUGUGCAUGGCCCUGGAGCUGAAAUUUGUGGGUGUCUGGCCCCUUCAUGGGAAAAUUUGUGGGUGCUUAGACACCUGGGGCUCCAGGAAGCCAGCACCUAUGCAAGCCACACACCCUGAGCUCCUGAGAGCAAUGGAACUACCAAGAGAGCCUCCUCUGUGGAUCUCAGCACCUGAGAUAAUAGUAAUAUGCCACUGCACUGAGUACUGUAUCACUGAGCAACACACACAGCUUUUAGUGGAGAGUCAACCAGUAGCCGUAGUUAUAAAUAGCAAAAAUGGCCAUCUCAUCCUCAACUGACUUAACAUUAUGAUGUCUGGAAGGGCUUCCCAAAUGACCUACAUCGAUUUAGGACAACUGAGGAUCUGGAGGCAUUCACAACUGUGGUGUGCACCCUUGCGUGGCGAUGCUCAUCUGACUAAUCAUGCUGGAGGUAAUGGCAUCUUAGUGUAGGUUUAAAUUGAGUAAUAUUACCAUUAAUAACAGUGCUUAAUUAAGACAUCUAUAAUGUUUUUAAUGAGAAAAAAUUGAAAGUCCUUCUGGAUUUUUUCCAGUCAAAUUAAUAUUGAGGACUUUAGACAUUAUUACAAGUGGCAUUACAGGAAUUAAAAUUAGGUUUAAAUUAAGAGGUGUCACUUUGCUUUUUUUAAGAAAAAAAAUUAAAAAUAAACCCAGAGCUUUUUGGAGCUAUAUUAAGUACUUACGCUCUUAAGUCAGGGAAAUUACCUAAUACAAUUUGCAAGGUGUAUCACUAUAAAGGGGUGUCAUUAUAGAGUACUAUGAGGAGAGAGGCUCAGUCACAUCUCCCAGGAAAGGUUCCAGAAAGAUCUGUAAGCAAGGUGAGCUUUGCAAGUGUCCUCUGACCAGUAUACAACCAAGGCAAGUAUGAGCCAGUCAUCUGGUGAUGUCAUCACAUCCUGUGGAGAGGAGACGUAUAUUUCAAACACAUCCAACCCACACUAAAAUCACAUGACACCCCUCUAAGAAUCCUAGGAACUAUCAUUUCUCCUUCACAGAGCUAUAAUUCCCAGCACCCUUAAAAAAACAAGCGUCUCUAUUAUUCUUUGGGGGAAAUCAUGUCUUUUAAAGGUGGGUCAGAUAUACUUUUAAUCUAUGGAGUGUUUUAAAUCUAUGGAGUGUAUUUAAAUCUAUGGAGUGUAUUUAAAUCUAUGGAGUGUAUUUUGGGUCAUUAAAGCAGAUUUUGGAGUACAGAAUGGGAAGCUAAGCUCCAUUCCUGCUGCUGCUAGUUGUGACACUUCCAGAAAAGGACAAAACUCAGCUUUUCCUGGUUUCUGUUUUUUCCAACCUUUAAGUGCAGCUCACUACAUUUCUACAUGAGAUAGUGAUUGUUAUAAACUUUUUUUUAAAAAAAAAAAAUAACCACCACAACCCUACAAGCUCCUACAAAAAUGAAACUGCUGUAAACUUGUUUACAGUUCCUGGUCCAGAUGACAUACUUAGCUAAACUGUGGCUUAGCAUUCUGCAGCACAGUAGCAGAACUCAUGAGGGAGCACAUUCUUCUCUCUGGAAGCCCCCCCUCUCAUGCACUCAUGGCUUGGCUUAUCAUGGGGGUGGGGGGUGGGCAGGACUGAAUCUGGCUAGUGGUCCAGAUCCCUACACUCCCAUGGGAUUGUUUUUAACCGCUUUUAAUAUUGCGUUAGGGUGAAGAAAGGGUAAGAAAUGAUGGUGAUAUGUAACAACUUGAAAGGGGCUCACCUUUGCAAAUGAUUUGCAAGUGGUUUUAAUUUAAAAAAAUUAAACACAGACUUCAGCAUUAUGACAGCCAUGCCUUUAUCUGCCUCUAGGUACAACAGUUGGGGUAGUUUGGGGUAAAUGGCCUGCCAGACUGAAGUGGGCCCACCCCUGGAUUAGCAUUAUGUACAAAAUGGGUCUUUGCUACCUCACAGGUCACUGUGUAACUAUUGGGGUAGAGCAGCACAUGAUGCAGGUCUCUGCCCCCCCCGCCCCCUGCUCCUCCUCCUCUUCUUCUUCUUCGACAAAUGCAUCAAUGAAAGGGGGAAUGGAAACAAGAGGUGGCAGAAAACUACUCGGAAACCACUGCAAAAGCCAAAAAAUGGCAUUUGAAAUCCUUAAUGUUCAGGCCCAACUGCUGCCUCUUACCCCAUUGUCAGAAAAAAUCAUUCUGAAAUCAAUUAAUUUCCUUUUGCAUUUUCUCUUGCACAGACACCAUUUCCAGUACAUUCUUGGAAUAAUGAGCCUGGG
rnacentral:lncRNA from 1 species